UCAAAGUGCUUUUAUGAAAGCACUUUUAUGAAAGCACUUUUAUGAAAUCACUUUUAUGGAAGUGCUUUUAUAGGAGUACUUUUAUAAA
rnacentral:pre_miRNA from 1 species